GACGAACGCUGGCGGCGUGCUUAACACAUGCAAGUCGAACGGAAAGGCCCUGCUUUUGUGGGGUGCUCGAGUGGCGAACGGGUGAGUAACACGUGAGUAACCUGCCCUUGACUUUGGGAUAACUUCAGGAAACUGGGGCUAAUACCGGAUAGGAGCUCCUGCUGCAUGGGGGGGGUUGGAAAGUUUCGGCGGUUGGGGAUGGACUCGCGGCUUAUCAGCUUGUUGGUGGGGUAGUGGCUUACCAAGGCUUUGACGGGUAGCCGGCCUGGGAGGGUGACCGGCCCCAUUGGGACUGCGAUACGGCCCAGACUCCUACGUGCGGCAGCAGUGUGGAAUAUUGCACAAUGGGCGGAAGCCUGAUGCAGCAACGCCGCGUGCGGGAUGACGGCCUUCGGGUUGUAAACCGCUUUCGCCUGUGACGAAGCGUGAGUGACGGUAAUGGGUAAAGAAGCACCGGCUAACUACGUG
rnacentral:rRNA from 1 species